CUUUUCAACUGUUUAUUCCUUUUCACCUCUCUUUGUUAAAAAGCAGGUAAAAAAGCAAUCUUCUUCUCUCUGAUCCAAUGGUUAACAAAAUAAGGGGUAUAUAAACCAUCUGUUACUAAAAAUCUGGGGUGCUUCUGCCUGCUCUUUUACAUUUUAAUGAAACACUUAUGCCAAGGGGGCUAAAUACCAAAAAAACAACAACAACAAAAAAAGUGUCUUCAGGUAGCCUGUUUUUCAAAGGGGUCUUCUUUUCUAAUCCACUACCUUCAAAAGGCUGUUUCAAGUGGUUCACACUAAAAACCUGGGGGGACGGGGGGGGGGACUUUUUCUUAGUAAGGGUUUUGUGGGCUUAGGUCAGGGAUGCUUCUGCAUGCUCUUUUUUUUAAUUGAAAUACCCCUACAAAUAAAGAAAUGUGUCUUCAAGAUUGGUUCAGGAAAAUGAAUUCUAUGACGCUGCUGUAAAACCACCUCUGAUUGGGCCGAUCCAAAGGAAUUGAUAACAAGUGUGAGAGGGUCUGAACCAGAAAAGUUGCCUCAUUCUACAGAAAGACUUCAAAGGGUUAAACCAGAAAAGCUGCCUCAUUUACAAAAAGACUGCA